UACGGGGGGAACAAACGUUGUUCGGAAUCACUGGGCGUAAAGGGCGCGUAGGCGGUCCUGUAAGUGGUGUGUGAAAUCCGAUGGCUCAACCAUCGAGCUGCGCCCCAUACUGCAGGACUUGAGUACAGCAGAGGAAAGUGGAAUUCCCGGUGUAGCGGUAAAAUGCGUAGAUAUCGGGAGGAACACCGUUGGCGAAGGCGACUUUCUGGGCUGCUACUGACGCCGAGGCGCGAAAGCCAGGGGAGCGAACAGG
rnacentral:rRNA from 1 species